rnacentral:rRNA from 1 species
GACGAACGCUGGCGGCGUGCCUAACACAUGCAAGUCGAACGGGGUAAUCCUUCGGGGUUACUUAGUGGCGAACGGGUGAGUAACGCGUGAGAAACCUGCCUUUCAGUGGGGGACAACAGUUGGAAACGACUGCUAAUACCGCAUAAUGUUUCGAGAGGGCAUCCUUUUGAAACCAAAGCUAUAUGUGCUGAAAGAUGGUCUCGCGUCUGAUUAGCUAGUUGGUGGGGUAACGGCUCACCAAGGCGACGAUCAGUAGCCGGUCUGAGAGGAUGAACGGCCACAUUGGGACUGAGAUACGGCCCAGACUCCUACGGGAGGCAGCAGUGGGGAAUAUUGGGCAAUGGAGGAAACCCUGACCCAGCAACGCCGCGUGAAGGAAGAAGGCCUUCGGGUUGUAAACUUCUUUUACCAGGGACGAAGAACGUGACGGUACCUGGAGAAAAAGCAACGGCUAACUACGUGCCAGCAGCCGCAGUAAAAC